CCGCUCACUUCGGCGGCACAUACACUGAAACUGGAACGAUACAGAGAAGGUUAGCAUGGCCCCAUGAAAGGAUGACAGGUAAAUUCGUGAAGCAUUCCAUAUUUUA
ensembl:snRNA U6 U6 spliceosomal RNA